rnacentral:rRNA from 1 species
CCUACGGGAGGCAGCAGUGGGGAAUAUUGGACAAUGGGGGCAACCCUGAUCCAGCCAUGCCGCGUGUGUGAAGAAGGCCCUCGGGUUGUAAAGCACUUUCAGUGAGGAAGAACGCCUGGUGGUUAAUACCCAUCAGUAAAGACAUCACUCACAGAAGAAGCACCGGCUAACUCCGUGCCAGCAGCCGCGGUAAUACGGAGGGUGCGAGCGUUAAUCGGAAUUACUGGGCGUAAAGCGCGCGUAGGUGGCUUGAUAAGCCGGUUGUGAAAGCCCCGGGCUCAACCUGGGAACGGCAUCCGGAACUGUCAAGCUAGAGUGCAGGAGAGGAAGGUAGAAUUCCCGGUGUAGCGGUGAAAUGCGUAGAGAUCGGGAGGAAUACCAGUGGCGAAGGCGGCCUUCUGGACUGAAACUGACACUGAGGUGCGAAAGCGUGGGUAGCAAACAGGAUUAGAUACCCUUGUAGUC